CCAACCUGAUCGCUGAGUCCCAAAUAGGGAACGGGGGAACCAACCGCGGUAUUCAAAAUUAUAAGCCGCACGGGGUGAAUCUUGAAUAGCAAAUUCAAGUAGGGCGACUCUCACGCCCGAAUCCGUCAGCUAACCUCGUAAGCGUGUCGAGAGGAGGA
rnacentral:sRNA from 2 species